GCUGCAAUUACGUCAGUCAUGGCAGAUCACGUGGUGUUUGCUUUCUUUAUCGCAGAUGAACUGGAAGCGAUAGAAAUUCCAUUAUUAUUGCAUGAAAUUGAGCACAAUGAGCAACGAAAAAUGGUUCCAAAAAUAGACAAUUUUGUGGAGGAUGUUGUCCCUCUCUACAGUCCCUCAGAAUUUAGAGGUCAUUUCAGGCUCACCAAAGAACAAGUGGAGCUCCUCAACAAUUGUUCCCAAGCUGGUCAACAUCUU